CCUACGGGUGGCUGCAGUGGGGAAUAUUGGUCAAUGGCCGGAAGCCUGAACCAGCCAAGCCGCGUGAAGGACGAAGGUGCCAAGCAUUGUAAACUUCUUUUGUCAAGGGACAAAAUCAGGCUCGAGAGCCUGACCGAGGGUACUUUAAGAAAAAGCAUCGGCUAACUCCGUGCCAGCCGCCGCGGUAAGAGGGAGGAUGCGAGCUUUAUCCGGAUUUAUUGGGUUUAACGGGUGCGUGGGCGGGCUGUUAAGUCAGCGGUAAAACCCCGGGGCUCAACCCCGGCGAGCCGUUGAAACUGGCAGUCUGGAGAGGGCGAGAGGUAAGCGGAAUGCGAAGUGUAGCAGUGAAAUGCUUAGAUAUUGCGCAGAACUCCGAUGGCGAAGGCAGCAUACCGGCGGCGAUCUGACGCUGAGGCACGAAAGCGUGGGUAGCGAACAGGAUUAGAUACCCGUGUAGUC
rnacentral:rRNA from 1 species